GCGCGUCGGAAUAAGUUAUUUCAAAAUUUCUUAUUAGAAUACACGAGGGGUAUAAAUUAGUUAUACUCGAAGGGGAAAAACUCUAGGCCUAACGUUAGCGGAAAACUUAAAAGUAAAAAUAGAAUAGAAAGUGCUAGUGUGGCGAUAAAGAAAUUUAAAGGUUAAAAUCAGUGCUAAAAUUAGUGCUACGCUACUAAGAGGAAGAAAAGGAGACAAGAUAAAACAGAAAAGGUCCGUUUGGGGCCUUUUUUCUGUUACUUGGAACAAAAAUUCCGAGUUUUUCUUCAUUACUAGAAAGCCUGGAGGAACUAUACGAAAAUCUGGA